UGAACGCUGGCGGUAUGCUUUACACAUGCAAGUCGUACGGAAAGUAUUUGAAUUUAUUCGUUUACUUUUAGUGGCGGACGGGUGAGUAACACGUGAGAAUCUGCCUUUAGGAGGGGGACAACAAAUCGAAAGAUCUGCUAAUACCCCAUAUGUCAUUAGAUGAAAUGAAUUUAUUCGCCUAAAGAGGAGCUCGCGGCUGAUUAGCUAGUUGGUAAGGUAAUGGCUUACCAAGGCGACGAUCAGUAACUGGUUUGAGAGGAUGAUCAGUCACACUGGAACUGAGACACGGUCCAGACUCCUACGGGAGGCAGCAGUGGGGAAUUUUCCGCAAUGGGCGAAAGCCUGACGGAGCAAUACCGCGUGAGGGAUGAAGGCUUACUGAGUUGUAAACCUCUUUUUUCAAGGAAGAAGUUCUGACGUUACUUGAAGAAUAAGCAUCGGCUAA
rnacentral:rRNA from 1 species